rnacentral:rRNA from 1 species
UACGUAGGGGGCGAGCGUUGUCCGGAAUUAUUGGGCGUAAAGAGCUCGUAGGCGGUUUGUCGCGUCUGCUGUGAAAACCCGAGGCUCAACCUCGGGCCUGCAGUGGGUACGGGCAGACUAGAGUGCGGUAGGGGAGAUUGGAAUUCCUGGUGUAGCGGUGGAAUGCGCAGAUAUCAGGAGGAACACCAAUGGCGAAGGCAGAUCUCUGGGCCGUAACUGACGCUGAGGAGCGAAAGCAUGGGGAGCGAACAGG